rnacentral:rRNA from 1 species
UACGGAGGGUGCAAGCGUUAUCCGGAUUUACUGGGCUUAAAGGGUGCGUAGGCGGGCCCUUAAGUCAGUGGUGAAAGCUCCGAGCUUAACUCGGAAACUGCCAUUGAUACUAUAGGGCUUGAAUUCGGUCGAGGUUGGCGGAAUGUGUCGUGUAGCGGUGAAAUGCGUAGAUAUGACACAGAACACCGAUUGCGAAGGCAGCUAGCUAGACCGACAUUGACGCUGAGGCACGAAAGCGUGGGGAUCAAACAGG